CGGUGGCACCCGCAGGGCCCCUCCCUCCUCGCCCUCCGUCUCCUCCACCGCCUCCUCUAGACAAAGGAAGUGAUUCUGUGUGAAAAGGACUGGGAAAACGUGAGCUUUCUGAACGUUCCGAUGUGUGAAUUCAGCCUCCAGGCUGGACGAGGUGCAGCCUCCGGGUAUCCGCUCCCUCCCUGCCUACUGCGGCAGCCAGCCGGAGCCCUCCUGGGCUCUCCCCACUCUCCUGCAACCCUGCCACGCCUUACAUCAAGCGUCUCACCUGCCGGGCUCCCAAAUGCACACCUCACUCAAAACGAGCCCCGACCUCCCACAGCCGUCGCUAGCAACCCUGGCGCCCUGCUUAAUGUUAAAAUCAGCUCUCCUCAUGAAACUGGUCCCUGGCAUCUCAGGAACUUACACCCUUCCAACACUGUUACUUUGCAGGCUCUAUCCUGAGUCAUUAUAUUUGUUCCUCAUCCAUCUUUUACAAUUGCCUUUCAGUCCAGUAGCAAUUUCCAUUUUUGCAGAUGAGAUGCUCAGGCUCAUGGAAGUAACGACCUAGCAUCAGUGUCACCCCUUCUGGGGUCCUUUGCUUUCUCCUCCCUCCUUGUAGCACAGCAGCUAAGCCACAAGAUGUCCAAUCCCCUCAGACAAAGAAGCAGAGACUUCAAAAGGUCACAGAAGAAAUUCUAAGGACUAGUGCAAGACACCCAGGCUGCUGAGUCCUGGAACAGUGCUGGGCCCACAGCACCCCUCGGCCUGCGCUGUGCACAUCUGAAGCCUCUGGGGGAGCAAGGAAUCUGCGCCUCCAAGACAAACCUGCAGUCCUUGCCCAGAGCUGGUAGACAGCCCGAGAGGAUGGCACUUUUCAGCGAGCCCCCAAGAGGUACAACACAGGGCUGGGCAUACAGCCUGCCCUGGAUCAGCUGGAGCUCAAGGUGCUGCACUCCAGGUGCUCUGACCGGGGCUGGAAGAGACCAACAUGUCAUGUGAACUGGGUCCAGGCAAGGGGUGGACGCUAUAUUUUGUGGACAAGGGCAGGUGGCAUGGGGAGGAUGCUGUGGGCAAACAGAAGUACCAAGUAUCCUGAAUGAGGGAGGUAGAAACCACUUGGCAUGUUCUGUGCGGGACCAGGGGCUCAGCUGAGCACACUGAGGGGCCACGUCGCUGGAGGAGGCCCCCAUGAAGGGAAGGAGACCGCAUCAGGAGGUGAAUUCAGCUGAAGCCAGAAGGCCCAGCCCCGGCCCCAGCUCCACCCUUCAUGCUGCGUGAACCUGAAAGACAACAGCUCACCGCAUCUCCUGAGCUCCAGUUCACCUAUCCCCAAAGGACGAAUUUCCUGUUUUACUCACUGAAAAGUGACUUUUGAGGGGUAAAUCACUAGACAAACAUCGUGAAGCCAUCUAAUGGUAUUUGGAAGCCUCCAAAGCUUUGGAGCAGAAGCCUGAAGGAUCUGGAAGGUGCUAAUUUAGAAAGAUCAUCCUGUGACCACGGGCAGAGGAGGCUUGCCAGCAGCUGCAGCACUCUGUCACAGAUGGUCAAAAGCUAACUAGGAGAGGCAAAGGAAGGAGAGGAAAGAAUGAACAAGAGUGACGUGGCGGGUGAGGGUUUCUGGGUACACUGGCCACCAAAUGCAGCAGCCAGUGCAGGAGGGUGAGGCAGAGAUGGGUCCUGGAGAAAUCUGUUAGCCAGUGAAGCAGAGGCUGGCAGGGGGAGAGAGGACAGGAUUUGAUGACUCCAGGACUGCGUGGGUGGCCUGUGUCUCUGGAAGGGGUUCAGCAGACUUCUGGAAAAGGCCAGGGGCACUGGGUGCUUGAGCUGGGUCCUCUCAGUGUAGGUGGCAGUGGAGGCCCCAGGACAGAGGUGGUCCCUGGGAGCAGAGCAGCAGGGCUGAUUAGAUUUGGUGGCAGGGAAGGGAGUGGUGACCUCAAAGAUCUUUCAAGCGCUGGCUGGGUGUAUGAGUGCCACUCAAGGGUUAACGAUGCUGCAGGUGGUAAAGAUGGAAGUCGUGGGUACAGACUAGUCUUUGAAGGAGCUGGCAGGGAAGAGAACAUGAGAUGGAUGAUUAGCUGCAGGAGAGGAUGGUUUUAGACAGGGGAGAUCUGAGCAUGCUCACAGCACAGGUAGGAAAGGAGUGGUAAAAAGAGAUGAAUCAGAGGAAAGAAAAGUUGAGAACGGACCCCCCUUCACCAAGCACCUACGCAGUUCCUGACAGCUGGCUGGACACAGACCUGGAAGUCUCUGGCUCUCCUCCAUCCCUUGGUCCCCUCCAGUGCUGGGACCUGAGGCUGUGCUCAAAACCCAUCUCAGUGCAGCCAACUGUUUGCCAGCUACAUCACACACAAUUAAAGACCGUCUUCUCCCGCACCAGCUCAUCGUCGACUGGCAGGCACUGCCUAGCCUCCACACUGACCCAGCCCACAAGGCGCCAGCCAUGGAUUUCUUGGCUUCCUUGGCACUGUCUGUAGCCAAGGAGGUGCCUCUGGGCAAUCCACCUGCCACACACUACUGCCUGAAGACCCCAGCUGGUUCUAACCUGUGAUGGGCACAUCAGAGCUCCCAUUGGUGCACACAGCCCACACCUCCUGGCCAGAACACACACACACACACACACACACACACACACACACACACACACUCACACACACACACAGAGCUUCCCAGACUGCUCCACACCACCUCCCAGGGCAGCACAGGAAAUAACCCUGUUCUUUUCCUCCCCACACUGGGCAGAAGGUAAAACUGAGACAGCGGGUAUUCUGUGAGUUCUGUUAGAGUUAGGCAGCCUGGCAUGCAGACUCCUUCCCACCUUCCGAGCAGUGCCCUUACCCACCUUCUGUAUGUUCCAAGGGAGAGAGAGGCUCUUGAGCCUGGGAGCAAAACGGAGCAUGGCUGUACACACCUGUAAUCCUGGCCUUCUGAGAAGCUGAGACAGGAGAGUUCAAAGUUUGAGCCCAGCUCAGGCAAGUUAGUGACUUAGAAAAACCUUGUCUCAAAAAAAAAAAAAAAAAAAAAAAAAAAAAGAAGAAGAAGAAGAAGGAGAAAUAAAAAGGCUUCAGAUGAAGGCCCUGGGUUCAAUUCAGUUUCUCAGUACUGCAAAAGAAAGAGACAGACAGACAGACAGACAGACAGACUGGGGGAAAGAAGGAAGGAAGACAGGACAGAAGUUCACAGCAGCAUUAUUCAUAGUAGCUUAAAAGCAGAAAUGACCAAAUUGUUCACCAAUUAUUGUCACCAGAUUAAAUUCAGGACACCCACCCAUUAAAAAAAGUAACAGUUUUAUUGAGAUAUAAUUUACAUAUCAUAAAGUUCACCCAUUUAAAGUGUACAAUUCAAUGGUUCUGAAUACUAUAUUUAAAGAAUAGUGCAAUCUUCACUGUAAUUUCAUUUUAGAACAUUUUUAUCACUCCCUCUCCCAAAAUACCUUGUACCCAGCAGCAGUCACCCAAGUACAGGCAACCACUAAUCCACUUUCUGUCUCCAAGGAUCUGCCUGUUCAGGACACUCUGUACCAGUAGAAUCGUACAUCAUACGGUCCUUUGUGGCUGCUGCCUCUGGCCAGCAUAAUGUCCCCACGCUUCAUCAGAGUUUAGCACAAGUCUCAGUUACUUUUCUCAUUGCUGAGACAAAAUACCAACACGCACAAGUGAAGGGAUUAAAGGUUUAUUUAGCUCACCAUUUGUAAAGGUUUUAGUCCAUAAUUGGCUGGCUCUAAGGCAGGUGGCUUUACAGAGGAGAAACAGUUCAUAGAGGGCAGAAGGUAGCAAAGCAACAAGGGGCAAGACAAGCUCCUUUCUGUCCCUUGUACUGUGCCCAGGCUACCGGGAUUAGGGCAGUGCCAAGUCAAUUAGUGGACAGAUUUAGUAAUCACCGACCCUUAAUCUCAGCACCCUUAAUCCCAGCAUUAUACUAUGAAUCAAUUACACACUUUCAAUCCAGCCACUUCUGCAAAAGCCCCACCUAUGACAACAUGUGUCUUUGGAUGGGGGAGGAACACCGGACACAAGCCAUAACAGUACACAUCAGUAUUUCAUUCCUUUUAUGGUUGAAUAAUGUUCCACACUAUGGACAUAUCACAUUUUGUUUUUCCAUUCUUCAGUGGCUGGACAUCUGGGCCAUUGCUACUUUCCAGCUAUUAUGAAUAAUGCUGCUUUGAGCAGUCACAUAUAUUUGAUGGGGGUGGAUAUAGCUAGAAUAAAAAGAAUAACAAAGGCUUAGGCUUUCUUCUUAUUUAUUUCCUAUACCAUCACAUGGCCUACAUGGAAGCUACUAUGUUCCCCUUCAGCAGAUUAAAACACAAGAGACUCAGAAGGAGGCUUGAGACCAUUAAGGGCUAAGAACCAGGUCUCCCAAUUCCUGGUCCAGGAUUCUCCCAUUGUAUCACAUGCCAGCCUUGAAGUGCCUGCAGUUCCCCUGUGGGGCCAAAGCAUAAGGGACUGAGACCUGGUACCAUCAGUGGGAACAGUCACCUCAAGCAUCCCAGGCCCCAGCGAGGUGCUUUGUAGAUCGUGUCCCAGGUGUGACGGCUGAGACAGAUGCCAGGGGCUUCUUGGAAGAAAUGAGUUUUUACCCAGCUAGGUAGAAAGUGAACUGGAGCCAACUGAGCCGUCUCUUCAGCCAGUGCCCUGGGUUCUGGGAGCCUACUGAGCCCACAGCAGUUUUCUCAAUGAUUCCUCUGAGUGCAGGUCACCUGGCAGGGACAGAGGCCAGGGGUGGGAACACCACACAUUCACCCAUCUCACAGCAUCCUAACCUCCGCAUAGCAGCUGUAGCAUGUUGUUAUGGUUUAUGUUUAGGUGGAUCCCCAAGCCUCAUGCAGUCAUGGAGGUAACUGAAUUUAGCAUUUGUGAUUGGUUCCUUGUCUAGCACUGGGAAUGAUGAUGUGAAUGCUGUACCAGGGGCGGAGCCUAUAUACAGUGUAAGGGUGGGAAGGCAGUGUGCUUUCUCUCUUUUGCCCUUUUGCUCCUGUUGCUUGUAGCUGCCAUGAACUGUUGCCCCUCAGCCAUGCCACCCUGCCUUGGAGCCAGCUGCGUAUGGACUGAAACCUCCAAAAAACUGUAAGCUAAAUGAACCUUUCUUUUCUUAAUUUUGGGCAUCAGGUGUUUUGCUCAGCAAUGAGAGAAAAGUAACCAAGACACAUGCUCCCAGGCUCACCCCUUCUAGCCCUUAUUCCCUGAUCUUCAACAAGUUCCUUCAGAUCUGCCCUGUACCCUGAAGCCAGUCCCAUCACCAGAGAGCACUGAGUGAGAAAGGAAUUCACACCAAGGUUACUUCCUGUGUCAGGACAAAGAGGUGACCCACAGCCUGCCAGCUCUGUGCCCUCAGUGUGUCCUUAACUGCAGGCCAGGAGAACAAAUAGUUGCUUGCCAGAAAGCCAGUCAUUCAAAUGGCUAGGGAACAAUGACACAGAGAACCCUUUAGUUUGCUACACAGAUGCCUACUAACUAUCGCAUGUCCAGAUAGACAAGAGCACAAGAAGGCAGUCCCACAGCUCUUCACAAGGGUGACUGCAAAAAAAGAUGAAUGCUUACAUUUUUUGCAAAGACACGUAAACAUUAACCACCCUAAUACUGGGCUCACUUUGAGCACACUUUCCCCACUCUUUUGGCCACUUGCAGAAGCAGUUCUGGAAGCCUUUUGUAAUUGCACUGUUGGACUGCAUCGAUGUCCUGAAUCCAUGUUUAGCGUUCAUGGCCAUGCUGACUCUGGGGAAGAGCCGGAAGUCACGCAGUGGCAGGUCUGGGGAAUAAGGUGGAUGAGGACCUUAUGUUUUUAGAGCUGUCUUUCCAUGGAUGACCCUUGGCUGCUGCAUUCACUGUAUUUUUUAAAAUCCCAUCUCUUACAGACACUCACGGAAGUGGACUUCCAGAACUGUUUCGAAGUGUGUGUGUGGGGGGGUAUUUUGAGAGAGGUUAGUGGCAACGUGUCUUUUACUGUAAUAAUUUAAUUUUUAUUUAAAGAGAAACCUUUAAGAAAAAUAGUCCCUGCACUGUGCCGAUGAAGCGAGGGCAGAAUUUUCCCAUUCCACAGAGGAGGCCACCGAGGCCCAGGGAGACAGAAUCGUGGAUUUGGGGAGCCAAAGCCAGACGCGCUGACUGGAACUCGGGGUCCCCCUGCUGGCCGGAUGCGGCUCGGAGCCAGUAGGCUGACUCGGCUCGCUGCAGCUGGGUUCGUUCAGAGCACUGCUCGGAGGAAGAGGAGGAGCCAGGAAUGAGCCCCGGGUUUGCACCUGCAGUGGCACUGUGCCCGGCUUGAGCGAGGGCGCUUCACCAGGUGGGAUAGCGCCCAUCAAAAAGCAGCUUGCGCCUGGCUCCCCGGCCUCCGGAGUCGCUCCUGGACUCACCGGCAGAACUGGCCUGCAGCCGGGCAUGCCCAGCCCGCCUGACACCAGGGUGUCUCUGGUCUCUGGACUGUCUCAGUCCCAAGUGCUUGUUUCCACAGCAUUACCCACAACACUCUUGUUUCCAGGCAAAAUCUCCUAAAUCUGCCCGUCGGGUUGGGAGCUCUCCCACCUGCCGAAAUCUCUGGAGGAAAAGCUUCCCCUGCCUGCGAUAACUGCUGUGACAGUAAGAGGCUGGCACCGACCCACCCACCUGUUACCUCGGGAGCCCGCUCAGACCCAGACCCUGCUUCGGAUGAGCGCGGUCGGUCUCCAGAGUCAAGCACGUCUGCAUCGGGUCUCGCUUCGGUACCUUUCCAGGGUGUGGUGUGUACGUUUUCAACCAAGAAGCCUCUGUUUUCUUAUGAGUAAACUGCAAGUAACAUUCUCCAAAUAGUCUGUUGGGAGGAUUCGGUGAUAUUAAAUCAAUAGUAUUGAGGGUUGCUAGAUGUUGAUGAGACUCAUCGCUGAUUGCAUAGUUCUUUAGAACUGUCCGGACCCCCCACCCCCACCCAACCUAACAAAAGAGAAACAGGAAUCAGGCAAGAGUUUUGGACAGGAAAGUAGGGCGUGUCCCUGCCAUGUGCUUGAGAUUUCUCCAACCUGGUCACCUCCUUGUGCUCCACCCCCAUCUGCUAGAGGAGGGGUGGCAGCUGCUUCCCUGCCCUGCCCAGGCCUGACCCAGCCAAAGGCCUGACUGACACAGCUGCUGCAGUGGCCCAAAUGCCUUGGGUUUAGGGCUAGGUAGGGGACAGCUGGAGCUGGACAGCAGGUGGAGGGCAGAAGAGAAGCAUCCUUCUCUCUGUGUCCGCUCAACCUACAGCUUCCUGAGCUUCCAGGGGCAGCCUGGGACUCUGGCUCCAUCUUCCCCAUGCUGCAGCCCCCCACCCCCACCCCAGGCCUCAGCCCCUCCAACAUCUCCACCUCUAAGGCUGGGCCCUUUGCCCCGCCCCUUUCCCCUGCUCCCUCCCUCGCCCAAAUGCUGCCCAGCUGUCACCGUCCUGAUCCGGGCACCGCUGCCUACAGCACUCAUGAAUCCCAGUAUUCACACUCUGACCCCAGAGCCCCCACCUGUUCCCCUCGGUCUGAACAGCAGGGCCAGGAGGCCCCAUCUGUCGUCCUCCAUCCAGGACUCAGGGCUGGAGCCUCCACUUCCACCUGCCCUGAGAGGGCGUGGUAAAGAUGGGUUCCAUGCAAGGUCUGACUGGAGGCUUCUUCUUCUUUCUCCCCUGUCGCAGGCCCUCCAGCACUGUCCCAAACAACCUGCGUCUCAGCACACACACACACACACACACACAAAAAAAGGCAAAUUUUCCAAAAGAACCUUUGCCUAUUGAACAACGUUUUCUCACUAUAUUUCUCUUAUUCAUAACCAGCCCCUCAAACGGGGCUGUCAGUGUGCGGUGGCGAAGAGAAACACACAGCAUGGGAGGCAACUUUAAAGGAAUCUUUUAUUACAGAAGAAACAUGUGAACAUACCUUGAUUAAAAAGCAAAAAGCUGCUGGGAAUUUAGCUCAGCAGCGUAAGCGCUCACCUAACAAGCGCGAGGUUGUGAGGUCGAUCCCCGGUACCAAAAAACAAAACAAAACAAAACAAAAAGACUGAAACCACAGCAGUUCAGGCUCAGAUUCCCUGUGAUGAGCCCCUAAAAGUCAGACUCCUUUUCCUGAGCAAAAUAGUGACCACUGUCAUCAGUCUGAUGUAUAUCUUUUGGGGUAUCUCAUAUGACUUUGCAUAGUAUAGGUUUGCAUACAUUAUAUGUAUUCGAUACAGCACUAUUAUUACUGUAUGGGUUGGAUUUUGUUAUUUUUUUACAUUAUUUGUAAACUACAAAUAUUCUUCAAUUAAAUUCACUAUACAAAGCCC